UGGUUCCUUUGAUCGCUCUUAACGUUACUUGGAUAACUGUGGCAAUUCUAGAGCUAAUACAUGCCAACGAGCUGCUGACCUCCGGGGAUGCGUGCAUUUAUCAGACCCAAAACCCAUGCGGGGUGCCUCUCGGGGUGCCCCGGCCGCUUUGGUGACUCUAGAUAACCUCGAGCGAUCGCUGGCCCUCGUGGCGGCGACGUCUCAUUCGAAUGUCUGCCCUAUCAACUUUCGAUGGUACUUUCUGAGCCUACCAUGGGACCACGGGUAACGGGGAAUCAGGGUUCGAUUCCGGAGA
rnacentral:rRNA from 1 species